CUAAUCACAUAAAUGCGAGUUUGGUAAGGAGUUCUAUUUAAUUUUAACAAUUUAUUAAACCCCUUACUCAGUUGGUCCUCUCUUCUUUUCAAUCACUUCAAAGUUUUUUUCAGAGUUUUAAGAUGAUGCCACUCUGUGUUGAUAAUGCCACUCUGUGUUUAAUUGUUUUACGCAUAACAUAUAGUUAUCAAUAUCAUUAAUCAUAAGGUAGAAUAAUAUAUAUAUAGUUUUAUUGGAAUAAAUUGAAACAAUAGGUGAAGCCUUAGGAGCAAAAUCUGCACCACCUCCCUAUCUUGAACCAGACACUGAGGCUAACUCAAUUCUCAAUGGAAUCAACUAUGCUUCUGGUGCGGCUGGAAUCUUGGACGACACUGGACUUUUGUUCAUCGGUAGAGUUCCAUUGAGAGAACAAGUGAGUUAUUUUGAGAAGAGUAGAGAUUAUAUGAUAAAAGUGAUUGGUGAAAAUGGUGCAAAAGAAAUGUUGAAGAAGGCAAUGUUCACAAUCACAAUUGGGUCAAAUGAUAUAUUAAAUUAUAUCCAACCAUCUAUACCUUUCUUCUCGCAAGACAAGCUCCCCACUGAUGUCCUACAAGAUUCCAUGGUGUUCCAUUUGACCACACAUCUUAAGCGUUUGCAUCAACUAGGAGCUAGGAAGUUCGUGGUGGUUGGAGUAGGGCCACUCGGUUGCAUACCAUUUGCUCGUGCCUUGAA